AGUGAACGCUGGCGGUAGGCCUAACACAUGCAAGUCGAACGGCAGCACAGUAAGAGCUUGCUCUUACGGGUGGCGAGUGGCGGACGGGUGAGGAAUACAUCGGAAUCUGCUUUUUCGUGUGGGAUCACGUAGGUAAACUUACGCUAAUACCGCAUACGACCUACGGGUGAAAGCAGGGGAUCUUCGGACCUUGCGCGAUUGAAUGAGCCGAUGUCGGAUUAGCUAGUUGGCGGGGUAAAGGCCCACCAAGGCGACGAUCCGUAGCUGGUCUGAGAGGAUGAUCAGCCACACUGGAACUGAGACACGGUCCAGACUCCUACGGGAGGCAGCAGUGGGGAAUAUUGGACAAUGGGCGCAAGCCUGAUCCAGCCAUACCGCGUGGGUGAAGAAGGCCUUCGGGUUGUAAAGCCCUUUUGUUGGGAAAGAAAAGCAGCAGGUUAAUACCCCGCUGUUCUGACGGUACCCAAAGAAUAAGCACCGGCUAACUUCGUG
rnacentral:rRNA from 1 species